UCCGUAGGUGAACCUGCGGAGGGAUCAUUACACAAAUAUGAAGGCGGGCUGGAACCUCUCGGGGUUACAGCCUUGCUGAAUUAUUCACCCUUGUCUUUUGCGUACUUCUUGUUUCCUUGGUGGGUUCGCCCACCACUAGGACAAACAUAAACCUUUUGUAAUUGCAAUCAGCGUCAGUAACAAAUUAAUAAUUACAACUUUCAACAACGGAUCUCUUGGUUCUGGCAUCGAUGAAGAACGCAGCGAAAUGCGAUAAGUAGUGUGAAUUGCAGAAUUCAGUGAAUCAUCGAAUCUUUGAACGCACAUUGCGCCCUUUGGUAUUCCAAAGGGCAUGCCUGUUCGAGCGUCAUUUGUACCCUCAAGCUUUGCUUGGUGUUGGGCGUCUUGUCUCUAGCUUUGCUGGAGACUCGCCUUAAAGUAAUUGGCAGCCGGCCUACUGGUUUCGGAGCGCAGCACAAGUCGCACUCUCUAUCAGCAAAGGUCUAGCAUCCAUUAAGCCUUUUUUUUCAACUUUUGACCUCGGAUCAGGUAGGGAUACCCGCUGAACUUAAGCAUAUCAAUAAGCGGAGGA
rnacentral:rRNA from 5 species